rnacentral:misc_RNA from 1 species
GAUGAAGAACGUAGCGAAAUGCGAUACUUGGUGUGAAUUGCAGAAUCCCGUGAACCAUCGAGUCUUUGAACGCAAGUUGCGCCCGAAGCCACUAGGCCGAGGGCACGCCUGCCUGGGCGUCACACGCCGUUGCCCCCCCAUCUACUCCUUCGGGAAUGCGGGGGGGCGGAUGAUGGCCUCCCGUGCGCCUAGCCGCGCGGUUGGCAUAAAUACCAAGUCCUCGGCGACGCACGCCACGACAAUCGGUGGUUGCGAAACCUCGGUUGCCCGUCGUGUGCGUUCGUCGCGCAUCGAGGGCUCGAAAAAAUGCUCGGCUCCGGCUGGGCUUUCAACGCGACCCCAGGUCAGGCGGGGUUACCCGCUGAAUUUAAGCAUAUCAAUAAGCGGAGGA